rnacentral:rRNA from 1 species
UGGGGGAUAUUGCACAAUGGGCGAAAGCCUGAUGCAGCGACGCCGCGUGGGGGAUGAAGGCUUUCGGGUUGUAAACCUCUUUCGCUAUCGAACAAGGCCCGCUUAGGGUGGGUUGAGGGUAGGUGGAGAAGAAGCGCCGGCUAACUACGUGCCAGCAGCCGCGGUAAUACGUAGGGCGCGAGCGUUGUCCGGAAUUAUUGGGCGUAAAGGGCUUGUAGGCGGCUUGUUGCGCCUUCUGUGAAAACGCGGGGCUUAACUUCGCGCGUGCAGUGGGUACGGGAAGGCUUGAGUGUGGUAGAGGUGACUGGAGUUCCAGGUGUAGCGGUGGAAUGCGCAGAUAUCUGGAGGAACACCGAUGGCGAAGGCAGGUCACUGGGCCAUUACUGACGCUGAGGAGCGAAAGCAUGGGUAGCGAACAGG